rnacentral:rRNA from 1 species
UGCGCAGGCGGCUUAUUAAGUCAGUGGUGAAAUCUCUCGGCUCAAUCGAGGAACUGCCAUUGAAACUGAUAAGCUUGAGUGUGGUUGUGGUAGGCGGAAUAUAGCAUGUAGCGGUGAAAUGCUUAGAUAUGCUAUAGAACACCGAUCGCGAAGGCAGCUUACCAAGCCAUUACUGACGCUCAUGCACGAAAGCGUGGGGAGCAAACAGGAUUAGAUACCCUGGUAGUCC